rnacentral:rRNA from 1 species
GACGAACGCUGGCGGCGUGCUUAACACAUGCAAGUCGAACGGAAAGGCCCUGCUUUUGUGGGGUGCUCGAGUGGCGAACGGGUGUGUAACACGUGAGUAUCCUGCCCUUGACUUUGUGAUAACUUCAGGUAACUGGUGCUAAUACCGGAUAUGAGCUCCUGCUGCAUGUUUUGUUUUGGAUAGUUUCGGCGUUUGGGGAUGGACUCGCGGCUUAUCAGCUUGUUGGUGGGGUAGUUGCUUACCAAGGCUUUGACGGGUAGCCGGCCUGAGAGGGUGACCGGCCACAUUGGGACUGAGAUACGGCCCAGAAUCCUACGGGAGGCAGCAGUGGGGAAUAUUGCACAAUGGGCGGAAGCCUGAUGCAGCAACGCCGCGUGCGGGAUGACGGCCUUCGGGUUGUAAACCGCUUUCGCCUGUGACGAAGCGUGAGUGACGGUAAUGGGUAAAGAAGCACCGGCUAACUACGUG